UCGUUUUUAACUAUUCGCUGGUCAAUUUACCUAAAAUCAGUGAUUGUCGAGUAAAACGAAGACUAAGCUAGGCAGCUAAUCACUCCAUAAUGUUUAUCCUACUUAAGCAAGGGAUUCUGCAUUACUAUAGGCUUGUCACAUGC